GACGAACGCUGGCGGCGUGCUUAACACAUGCAAGUCGAACGGAAAGGCCCUGCUUUUGUGGGGUGCUCGAGUGGCGAACGGGUGAGUAACACGUGAGUAACCUGCCCUUUACUUUGGGAUAACUUCAGGAAACUGGGGCUAAUACCGGAUAGGAGCUCCUGCUGCAUGGUGGGGGUUGGAAAGUUUCGGCGGUUGGGGAUGUACUCGCGGCUUAUCAGCUUGUUGGUGGGGUAGUGGCUUACCAAGGCUUUGACGGGUAGCCGGCAUGAGAGGGUGACCGGCCACAUUGGGACUGAGAUACGGCCCAGACUCCUACGGGAGGCAGCAGUGGGGAAUAUGGCACAAUGGGCGGAAGCCUGAUGCAGCAACGCCGCGUGCGGGAUGACGGCCUUCGGGUUGUAAACCGCUUUCGCCUGUGACGAAGCGUGAGUGACGGUAAUGGGUAAAGAAGCACCGGCUAACUACGUG
rnacentral:rRNA from 1 species